UACGUAGGGUGCGAGCGUUGUCCGGAAUUAUUGGGCGUAAAGAGCUCGUAGGCGGCUUGUCGCGUCGGAUGUGAAAGCCCGGGGCUUAACCCCGGGUCUGCAUUCGAUACGGGCAGGCUAGAGUUCGGUAGGGGAGAUCGGAAUUCCUGGUGUAGCGGUGAAAUGCGCAGAUAUCAGGAGGAACACCGGUGGCGAAGGCGGAUCUCUGGGCCGAUACUGACGCUGAGGAGCGAAAGCGUGGGGAGCGAACAGG
rnacentral:rRNA from 3 species